AUUGAACGCUGGCGGCAUGCUUUACACAUGCAAGUCGAACGGCAGCGCGGGCUUCGGCCUGGCGGCGAGUGGCGAACGGGUGAGUAAUGCAUCGGAACGUGCCCAGUAGUGGGGGAUAGCACGGCGAAAGCCGGAUUAAUACCGCAUACGACCUGAGGGUGAAAGCGGGGGACCGAAAGGCCUCGCGCUAUUGGAGCGGCCGAUGUCGGAUUAGCUAGUUGGUGGGGUAAAGGCUUACCAAGGCGACGAUCCGUAGCUGGUCUGAGAGGACGACCAGCCACACUGGGACUGAGACACGGCCCAGACUCCUACGGGAGGCAGCAGUGGGGAAUGUUGGACGAUGGGGGCAACCCUGAUCCAGCCAUGCCGCGUGCGGGAAGAAGGCCUUCGGGUUGUAAACCGCUUUUGUUCGGGAAGAAAUCCUCUGGGCUAAUACCCCGGGGGGAUGACGGUACCGGAAGAAUAAGCACCGGCUAACUACGUG
rnacentral:rRNA from 1 species